rnacentral:lncRNA from 1 species
GGGCCGAUCUAGGUUAGUUCCAGAACUUCUUGUCAUUUUCCUAUCCUUUCUUCUUUGUAUUCUGUUCGUUUAGCUUCCUCGAGGGCUUGUUUGCUAUUUUUCUCAAUUUUUUUGGGAUUUUGUGGCUUCCAUUUGAUCCAAAAUAUCUUCUGAUAUCUCCUCUUUUAGUAGUUCUAGGAGUUCGUCAGCCCCAGUUCUCCAAAGUCCUUGUACCGUAGACGAAGCCGUAGCUAGGACCGAACCUUGUCUGGCCUUUGCGCCGGACACCAUCCCCAGCUCCUUGACUCCGGAUGAACUCUCACUGAUAAGGAUUCAAUAUGGAGUUCCUCCGGAGUAUGAGCUGGAGCUUCUCGGGCC